CAGUCGCCGCGGGAAUACGAGGGGGCAAGCGUUGUUCGGAAUUAUUGGGUGUAAAGGGCGCGUAGGCGGUUUGACAAGUCUGAUGUGAAAUCUAUGGGCUCAACCCAUAGCCUGCAUUAGAAACUGUCGGGCUUGAGUAUGGGAGAGGUGAGUGGAAUUUCCGGUGUAGCGGUGAAAUGCGUAGAUAUCGGAAGGAACACCUGUGGCGAAAGCGGCUCACUGGACCAUAACUGACGCUGAGGCGCGAAAGCUAGGGGAGCAAACAGGAUUAGAUACCCCAGUAGUCCCUGUCUCUUAUACC
rnacentral:rRNA from 1 species